GGGGGCGACAGGCUUCGACAGGGGCUUGUAUAGAUCUUUGAAUGCACGUCGGGCUUUUUGUAGGUGAGCUCGUUAACAAAACUUGCAAAACACAAAUGCUAAUCAAGAAUUAGCUCUUGCUGCCUAAUUAACUUUAGUAACAGCAAUGUCCUUGGGUAAGUCAGCUUGGAGCGAUCCUAAAGGGCAUAACUCAGUCUAAGCUAGGGCACGUCCACCGCCUGCGGACGCGCCUGAAUAUGUUAGUCAGGCUGGUUUUCGACAGGGUACGCCGUUUUGCUUACCUGUCGAGAAUGAGAACCAAGCAAAGCGGCUAAACGUGUAGAUUUCACUGGUCGCAACCUUUGGAUGCGGGUUCGAUUCCCGCCGCCUCCACCA
rnacentral:tmRNA from 1 species